rnacentral:rRNA from 1 species
AACGAACGCUGGCGGCGUGCCUAACACAUGCAAGUCGUGCGAGAAAGUUCCUUCGGGAGCGAGUAAAGCGGCGCACGGGUGAGUAACACGUAGGUAACCUGCCCCCCAGUCUGGAACAACUAGAGGAAACUCUAGCUAAUGCCGGAUGAGACCACGAUCCCUUCGGGGGUUGCGGCCAAAGAUGGCCUCUACUUGUAAGCUAUCGCUGAGGGAUGGGCCUGCGGGCCAUUAGCUUGUUGGUGAGGUAACGGCUCACCAAGGCUGUGAUGGCUAGCUGGUCUGAGAGGAUGACCAGCCACACUGGGACUGAGACACGGCCCAGACUCCUACGGGAGGCAGCAGUGGGGAAUAUUGCGCAAUGGGCGAAAGCCUGACGCAGCGACGCCGCGCGGGUGAUGAAGGCCU